rnacentral:piRNA from 1 species
UGCCUCUUGGAUGCAAGCCAUUAU